GACGAACGCUGGCGGCGUGCCUAAUACAUGCAAGUAGAACGCUGAAGAGAGGAGCUUGCUCUUCUUGGAUGAGUUGCGAACGGGUGAGUAACGCGUAGGUAACCUGCCUUGUAGCGGGGGAUAACUAUUGGAAACGAUAGCUAAUACCGCAUAACAAUGGAUGACACAUGUCAUUUAUUUGAAAGGGGCAAUUGCUCCACUACAAGAUGGACCUGCGUUGUAUUAGCUAGUAGGUGAGGUAAUGGCUCACCUAGGCGACGAUACAUAGCCGACCUGAGAGGGUGAUCGGCCACACUGGGACUUGGACACGGCCCAAGCUCCUUAGGGAGGCAGCAGGAGGGGAUCUUCGGCAAGGGGGGCAAACCUGACCGAGCAACGCCGCGUGAGUGGAGAAGGUUUUCGGAUCGUAAAGCUCUGUUGUAAGUCAAGAAAGGGUGUGAGAGUGGAAAGUUCACACUGUGACGGUAGCUUACCAGAAAGGGACGGCUAACUACGUG
rnacentral:rRNA from 1 species